AGACGGCAAGGGAUGUGUAGCUUUUUCAAUCCUGGCCAUAACAUUCUUCUUCAUGCUCUUCUCAAUGUCCUUUCUCCUUUCAUUAGGUAAAAUGGAGAUGAUCCCCAGGGCCAUCUUGGAAACAGUUUUUGAAGUUGGUAGAGUCUCGGGCCCGCUUAACUGCUGAAAGAGUAGGAAGGGGUCCGUUUCAUUAGCGCGUUCAACCAAAGAGCGCUGUUAGGUUUCCUGCACCACAAGGUUCCUUUCACUUAAAAAAAUUUUUUUUUAUAUUACACCAUCUUUAUUUGUACCUUACCGUCUAAGGCUAUCAAUCAAACUUCAGUAAGAACAGUUUCAGCAUCAACUAACGAACAGUAGCCAAACCAGAGAGCAGUCAAAAGUGUUUUAAAGGGAGCAGCAUCAGCUGAUGUUCUGCCAAGUCUCUGGGUGUUCAGGACCAUGGUCCCCCGGCACUUCCAGGCCCCUGUGGGCUGCAGGUGGAUCCCCAGGAGCCAAAGGGCCGCUCAGGAAAGGGUGGAACUUGGCCUCGCAAUCAGCUGGCUUCUGCCUAUUAUGGUCAUCUUCUUUCCAGAGGUCUUGCUAUCUCAGUGGACGUG
rnacentral:lncRNA from 10 species